CAGAGGUGGCAAGCGUUGUUCGGAAUUACUGGGCGUAAAGGGCGCGUAGGCGGCCUUCUAAGUCAGACAUGAAAUCCCCAGGCUUAACUUGGGAACUGCGUCUGAUACUGGGAGGCUUGAAUGCGGGAGAGGGAUGUGGAAUUCCAGGUGUAGCGGUGAAAUGCGUAGAUAUCUGGAGGAACACCGGUGGCGAAGGCGGCAUCCUGGACCGACAUUGACGCUGAGGCGCGAAAGCCAGGGGAGCAAACGGGAUUAGAUACCCCGGUAGUCCUGGCCCUAAACGAUGGGUGCUUGGUGUGGCGGGUAUCGAUCCCUGCCGUGCCGAAGCUAACGCAUUAAGCACUCCGCCUGGGGAGUACGGUCGCAAGGCUG
rnacentral:rRNA from 1 species